ensembl:processed_transcript
AUUGGAUCAUGGAUGCGCUAAUGGACGACAUGGAUGACAAGGCAAGUGCCGUCCUACAUGCUCUGGGUGUCUUGAGGAGCUGGUCGUUGGAUGAUUUUUUUUUUUCAGGUCUUUUUUUCUGGUAAAGAUUAUCCUUACAGUGAAGUAAAAUAAUUUAACAGACAGAUUGACAAACAACUGACGAAAGAAGAGAGACCAUUCAAUAGAGGACUUCUAGAUGUAUCCAUAAUCCUGAAACAGACCGUAUCAUGAGCAGAUGCAGUGGUGGUCAUGGAGAAGUGGAGAGCAUGAGACUGAUUAACGAAAGAUCCCAGUGACAGAUGAGUGCCCGCAUUGAUCCUGUGGUCCAGCCUGAAAACCCGCUGGUAACCUACUCACACCUGCAGCUUCUCCACAAUGGACGCCCAGUGUUCUUCAGCCUCCAGCGCCUAGACUGCGGCUCUGCACGUGAAGUGUGGCCAAAAGAGAAAUGGUUGUGCCCAACUAAGCCUAGUUUCUCUCAAGGUUUAUUCCUUUACUUUCAUCAAUUGGUAAAGUUUUGUUCCUCCACUGUCGCCAUUGGCUUGCUUGGUUUAGGACUUGUGGAACUGUGCAUCGAUGGAUUUGCUUUUCAGUGUUUGGACUUUCAGCAGUGAAAACUAAACCACACUGAAUUUAAUAAAUGUUAAGCUACUUUGACACAAUCUACAUUGUAAAAGUACUUUAAAAAAUAAAGAUGAAAUUAAUUGAAAUUGUAUUGAAUAUUCAACA